CCUACGGGUGGCAGAAGUGGGGAAUAUUGCACAAUGGGGGAAACCCUGAUGCAGCAACGCCGCGUGGGUGAAGACGUAUUUCGGGAUUUAAAGCCCUAUUAGCAGGGAAAUGAAUGACGGUACCUGACCCAGAAGCCCCGGCUAACUACGUGCCAGCAGCCGCGGUAAUACGGAGGGGGCAAGCGUUAUCCGGAUUUACGGGGUGUAAAGGGAGCGUAGACGGUUGUGCAAGUGUGAAGUGAAAGCCCGCGGCUCAACUGCGGAACGGCUUUGGAAACUGGGUAACUGGAGUGCGGGAGAGGUAAGCGGAAUGCCUGGUGUAGCGGUGAAAUGCGUAGAGAUCAGGAGGAACACCGGCGGCGAAGGCAGCUUACUGGACAGCAACUGACGUUGAGGCUCGAAAGCGUGGGGAGCAAACAGGAUUAGAUACCCGUGUAGUC
rnacentral:rRNA from 1 species